GCCAGUGUGGCAUAGUGGUUUGAGCAUUGGACUAGAACUCUAGAGACCAGAGUUUGAAUCCUGGCUGGGCCA